rnacentral:rRNA from 1 species
UGUGUAGGUGGUUUAGUUAGUCUUCCGUUAAAGAUCCGGGCUCAACCCGGAAAAUGCGGAGGAAACGGCUAAACUAGAGAGUGAGAGAGGUGUACGGAACUCAUGGUGUAGGAGUGAAAUCCGUUGAUAUCAUGGGGAACACCAAAGGCGAAGGCAGUACACUGGCUCAUUUCUGACACUGAGACACGAAAGCGUGGGUAGCGAACG